rnacentral:rRNA from 1 species
GACGAACGCUGGCGGCGCGCCUAACACAUGCAAGUCGAACGAGCGAGAGAGAGCUUGCUUUCUCGAGCGAGUGGCGAACGGGUGAGUAACGCGUGAGGAACCUGCCUCAAAGAGGGGGACAACAGUUGGAAACGACUGCUAAUACCGCAUAAGCCCACGGCUCGGCAUCGAGCAGGGGGAAAAGGAGCAAUCCGCUUUGAGAUGGCCUCGCGUCCGAUUAGCUAGUUGGUGGGGUAACGGCCCACCAAGGCGACGAUCGGUAGCCGGACUGAGAGGUUGAACGGCCACAUUGGGACUGAGACACGGCCCAGACUCCUACGGGAGGCAGCAGUGGGGAAUAUUGCACAAUGGGGGAAACCCUGAUGCGGCGACGCCGCGUGGAGGAAGAAGGUCUUCGGAUUGUAAACUCCUGUUGUUGGGGAAGAUAAUGACGGUACCCAACAAGGAAGUGACGGCUAACUACGUG